GCAGGGCUGCAUCCUGAUGUGGGACCCUCAGGGAUGGUGGAUGGUGCAAGUGUACCCCCACACUGGCAUUCACCCUCUCUCCACAGGCGAUUUCUUCCGGGGGCUGUGGGGCCCUCGUGCCGGCUGGGCACAGGCAGUCCUGUUCUGUGCUGACCUCCGCAAAGGCCAGAAGUCAGCCGGCAGCCAGCAUCAGGCCUGGGAGAGCUGAGGCUGGGACAGCCAUGGGGGUGGGCCCCUUUAAGGACACCCCAAAAGGAACAGUGACUUGAGUGGGACACUGCACCUGCUGCCAGCCUGGCAUGGAGGGGUGUGGACAGCUGCCUGUCACCUGUCCACUGUGUGCCUGGGGGAAGCUGGGGGUCAGGGCUGUGUCCAGCUCCCUCAGUGCAGAGCUGAGCCAAGCACCUUUGGCCUCUUGCCUUUAUUACAAGCAAUAAAAUAGAAACAUCCAUUUGGAAAA